rnacentral:rRNA from 1 species
GUGUGAAAAACUCCGGUGGUAUAAGAUGGACCCUCGUUGGAUUAGCUAGUUGGUGAGGUAACGGCCCACCA